GUGAUGGACUGAGGUCAUGGUAUAGAGACUUGGUGGGAGCUGGAUGUUUAAGUAACUAAAGGUUUCUCUAUGUAGUCCUUGCUGUCCUGGAACUUGUUCUGUGGACCAGGCCGGUCUUGAACUCAGAGAUCCACCCAUCUCUGCUUCCUGAGUGCUGGGAUUAAAGAGCCUCCCUACUUUAUGAAAACUAAAGUUCAAAGGUUAAAACAUCAGAUGAUUUCAUCAACUGAAAGAAAAGAACAUCACCUCAGAGACUCCUUUCUGAUUUAAAGCUCACGACUGUCCAGGCACUUCUAACUCACUCCUGGGAGGCAGGAAAUGUCUCACAUCAUCUAAGAACAAAUUCAUGUGGAUGUGGAAAAUUCUGGAUGUACUCAUCUUCAAAGCCACUGAUAAUGGAGU